rnacentral:rRNA from 1 species
GGGUACUCUAUGCUGAGAUCUGAUAGCAAGCUGUACUUGUACAGCGAAGUGGUUGAUGCCAUGCUUCCAGGAAAAGUCUCUAAGCUUCAGUUACACAGGAAUCGUACCCGAAACCGACACAGGUGGUCAGGUCGAGUAGACCAAGGCGCUUGAGAGAACUCUGCUGAAGGAACUAGGCAAAAUGGUACCGUAACUUCGGGAGAAGGUACGCUGUUGUUGGUGAUGGAACUCGCUUCCUGAGCUGACGACAGCCGCAGAAACCAGGCCGCUGCAACUGUUUAUUAAAAACAUAGCACUCUGCAAACACGAAAGUGGACGUAUAGGGUGUGAUGCCUGCCCGGUGCUGGAAGGUUAAUUGAU